rnacentral:tRNA from 1 species
GAGCCCGUAGUCCAGUGGUUAUGUUGUUUCAAAGCAACACUACAAACGACGUCUCCUUGACGUGGAGAAAAUCACAGGUUCGAAUCCUGUCGGGCUCA